CCUAUGUGACUGCGGAGACAUUACCGAGUGCGGGUCCUUUGGGCCCAACCUCCCAUCCGUGUCUAUUGUACCCUGUUGCUUCGGCGGGCCCGCCGCUUGUCGGCCGCCGGGGGGGCGCCUCUGCCCCCCGGGCCCGUGCCCGCCGGAGACCCCAACACGAACACUGUCUGAAAGCGUGCAGUCUGAGUUGAUUGAAUGCAAUCAGUUAAAACUUUCAACAAUGGAUCUCUUGGUUCCGGCAUCGAUGAAGAACGCAGCGAAAUGCGAUAACUAAUGUGAAUUGCAGAAUUCAGUGAAUCAUCGAGUCUUUGAACGCACAUUGCGCCCCCUGGUAUUCCGGGGGGCAUGCCUGUCCGAGCGUCAUUGCUGCCCUCAAGCCCGGCUUGUGUGUUGGGUCGCCGUCCCCCUCUCCGGGGGGACGGGCCCGAAAGGCAGCGGCGGCACCGCGUCCGAUCCUCGAGCGUAUGGGGCUUUGUCACAUGCUCUGUAGGAUUGGCCGGCGCCUGCCGACGUUUUCCAACCAUUCUUUCCAGGUUGACCUCGGAUCAGGUAGGGAUACCCGCUGAACUUAAGCAUAUCUAA
rnacentral:rRNA from 1 species